GCAAACUUGGUCAUUUAGAGGAAGUAAAAGUCGUAACAAGGUUUCCGUAGGUGAACCUGCGGAAGGAUCAUUAAAGUAAUUUUGUCACUUUAUGUUGACUCUAUUCUUUUGUGAAACUAUUGAAUCAGUGAUAUUAUUUGGGGUUUAAAAAUGUGUGGGUAGUGAUACUGCCUGUACGACCCCAAACAUCAUUAACAAACUACUUUUUUAUGUGUAACUGAUAAUACCAAUUUAUUCUAAUUGAAAAAAUAACUUUCAACAACGGAUCUCUUGGUUCUCGCAUCGAUGAAGAACGCAGC
rnacentral:misc_RNA from 1 species